UCGGAACGUGUCCUGUUGUGGGGGAUAACUGAUCGAAAGAUCAGCUAAUACCGCAUGAGACCUGAGGGUGAAAGCGGGGGAUCGCAAGACCUCGCGCGACAGGAGCGGCCGAUGUCUGAUUAGCUAGUUGGUGAGAUAAAAGCUUACCAAGGCGACGAUCAGUAGCUGGUCUGAGAGGAUGAUCAGCCACAUUAGGACUGAGACACGGUCCAAACUCCUACGGGAGGCAGCAUG
rnacentral:rRNA from 1 species